UACUACAAGGACAUGCAUGUCUGCAAAAACAGAGUCGACACCAUGAAAACCUGUCAUGGGAUCCAGGAGUUUAGGUUUGGACACAAAGACAGACCUGAAGACUGGUUCUGAGGACCUGCUGACCCCGGAUGAACCGGAGGACCUGCUGAAGGAGGAGCACAACAGACCAGUUCAAGCAGAUCAAAGCCAGAUGAGAAGAACGAUCGAGGACCAGAAGCAUCAUGAUGGCAGAAUCCAGUCUGAGGGGGCGGAGUCUGGCUGCUUCAGCUGGUUUGUUCAUAAAUAAGUUGUUCUUAUUUAUCGUUUUGGUCACUGGGACAGCUCUGUUGAGGAUACUGCUGAUUUAGACGUUUACGACGAGUCUGAACAGACUCAGACACCUCGACAUUCAUCAAAGAUGUGAAAGUGCAUCCAAAGAAGUUUCAUGAUUGAAGAAAUAUCAGUAAACCAUAAAGAAUAAAUACUGACUGAUCGAGUUUGGAUCCAGGAGUACGUCCCAAACCCACAGGAGGAAACUGUAAAGUGAGCCGAGACCUUCACACAACCAGGAGCCAAUAGACUCCGCCUUCUGACGGGAAUCAUCUCUGCAGGUGGAGAUUAUGUGGCUGUGCUUUGAGAGACCAGCCGGAUCUUCUGGGUUCAGUGGAUUUCAUCCAUGCAGGAGGAUCCCUGUGAUCCCAGCAGACACUCCUCUCCACUUAUAUAAGCAUCCGACAGUUUCUGCACAGCUGAAAGCAACAUGCAUGUUAGAAGCUGUCAAAAACAGGCAUGCAAACGUUCAUGCUACUAUUUAUGAGGCUCUGCACAGGAAUGACUCACUUCAAUAAACCUGCAUUAAAAACCGCA